rnacentral:rRNA from 1 species
UACAGAGGGGGCAAGCGUUGUUCGGAAUUACUGGGCGUAAAGGGCGCGUAGGCGGCCUUCUAAGUCGAACGUGAAAUCCCCGGGCUCAACCCGGGAACUGCGUCCGAUACUGGAAGGCUUGAAUCCGGGAGAGGGAUGCGGAAUUCCAGGUGUAGCGGUGAAAUGCGUAGAUAUUUGGAGGAACACCGGUGGCGAAGGCGGCAUCCUGGACCGGUAUUGACGCUGAGGCGCGAAAGCCAGGGGAGCAAACGGG